rnacentral:rRNA from 1 species
GUAGGUGGCAAGCGUUGUCCGGGAAUUAUUGGGGCGUAAAGCGCGCGCAGGCGGUUCUUUAAGUCUGAUGUGAAAGCCCACGGGCUCAACCGUGGAGGGUCAUUGGAAACUGGAGAACUUGAGUACAGAAGAGGGAAGCGGAAUUCCACGUGUAGCGGUGAAAUGCGUAGAGAUGUGGAGGAACACCAGUGGCGAAGGCGGCUUUCUGGUCUGUAACUGACGCUGAGGCGCGAAAGCGUGGGGAGCAAACAGGAUUAGAUACCCUGGUAGUCCACGCCGUAAACGAUGAGUGCUAAGUGUUAGGGGGUUUCCGCCCCUUAGUGCUGCAGCUAACGCAUUAAGCACUCCGCCUGGGGAGUACGGCCGCAAAGGCUGA